UCUCGGUUUUAUGGAAAGAACGGAAUGAUAGGUUAUUUCAGAAUCGUCAUAGUUCUAUACCACUACUGCUAGAUAAAGUAAAAUCAAAUACCUUGUGGUGGUUGAAAGCUAGUAACAUAGUUUUUAUUUUUGGUACACAUAGUUGGUGGUCGAGCCCGCUUCUAUGUUUGGGCAUUGACUAUCCUUGAUGUAAUUUUGACUGUGUUGUAAUCUUU
rnacentral:lncRNA from 1 species